rnacentral:lncRNA from 1 species
AAAUAAUAAUAAUAAUAAUAAUAAGAGUUGAGCUGGAAUGCUAUAAGUAGCAAACGGUCUCCGUUGCCACUCAUUUGUUUUCAAUAAUGAAACCUCCAAAUCGACGAUCGGCACCGUUGAACAUGAUCUAUACCGUUUGAAGCAUCUAUAAAUCAAAUUUCAUAUUUUUCUGAUAUUGUUCUCUUGUCCAUCAAGUGGACACAAAAUGAACGGCUGAAAAUGAAUAUUCUUUAAAAAAUGAUGAUAGGAAUCUUGUUAUCAAGAUUGAGAGUAUAGAUCUGGUUAUAAAUAGUUUAAAGAAUUUUCUAACCAAAAUUUCAUUGAUUUGGAUAUUUUUACACCGUUAAAUCAAAAAACACUUCAUAUCGACUAUUAAAAUUACAAAUUUUGAAAUCCUUUGAUAAUUAAUUCAAUGAUGUCGAAAAUAUUUAAAAUUUGAUUUCUAGAUACUUCAAGUAGUAUAGAUCAUGUUUAACAGUACUUAUCGAAGAUUUAGAGACCCCAUCAUCAAAACAAAUGGAUAGUAACGGAGCCUGUUUGCUACCGACAGUAUUCUAUCUCAACUCAUAAUAAUAAUAAUAAUAAUAAUAAUAAUAAUCAAGACAUAAC